CUCGCGCACCUUCUCCUUCGAUUCGUCGCCGCUGCUCAUCUCUUCAAGGGUUUUCACCUUCGAUUCGUCGUGGCUCAUCUCUUGUUCACCGUUGCCAUUCAUCACCGCGCUCACCAAUGUCAAAGAAACUGUAUGCUCUCUAGCGACCUCUUCUCUGCUCUACUGUGAAGCAUCAAGGUUUCCAAUGAGGCAAAGCAUCGAUCCCUAACAAGCGAGGCUUGGAUUAUGCUGACCCAAAAAGGAAAGGCAAUUUUCUUGGAAAAGUUUUUCUUGCUGCUGGAUUAACAGCAUUAUGCAUUAUCAUGAUCAAGCAAUCUCCAUCUUUGAGUUCUACUAGUCCGUUUGCCAUUCGCGAACCUGGGGUAACUCAUGUUUUAGUAACAGGCAGUGCAGGCUACAUUGGUUCACAUGCUACGCUUCGGCUUCUGAAGGAAAAUUAUCGUGUCACUAUAGUAGACAAUCUGUCACGAGGAAAUAUGGGUGCCGUCAGAGUUCUUCAAAAUUUAUUUCCAGAACCAGGAAGGCUUCAAUUUAUAUAUGCUGACUUGGGAGAUCAGACAUCUGUUAAUAAAAUAUUUUUGGAGAAUAAGUUUGAUGCUGUGAUGCACUUUGCUGCUGUUGCAUAUGUUGGGGAAAGCACUGAGGAUCCUCUCAAACAGUAGAGAGAGGGCAAGGAACAGAGGAAUAGCCAAAGCACCAGGGAGCAAAAACAAGAGCGUUCUUCAAGUUUUUGGCUCUUCAUCAAUCAUAGCACCAAGAGAAAGAGAAUGAUGGCCAAGGAGGGAGCUGACUGAAGCUUAAGAGGGAGCUGCGUUCCACUCACCCAACUGUUCUUCGAGUUUCUUUGCUAGUUUAUUCAAUUUCUUUUAACACAACUACCACCACAAGCAAAGAGAGGUUUGGGCUCAAGAGAAAAACAAGGACAAGUCUUGUGUAUUUGAUCAACAAAGAGAUGGGGCUGGUGAUGAUUUGUUUAAAGAGCUAUGGAGGCUGUGCAGGGGCAUUAAUGGAUGCCCCUCGUGUUCAAGACAGAGUUUUCUAUUUCCCUCAGGGUCACAUUGAAUUGUUGCCAGAACCUACAGAACAAGAUUUGAGGCAGAUGAAGAACCAGAAAUCUCCCAAAUACGAUCUUCCGUCGAACAAGAUAUUUAAAGAACAAGAUUUUUUUCUCUUCUAUCAGAAGGUUAAUAACUUUUAUUAGAAGAUACUUAUGUAGGAUACAAUAUUUUGGUUUUUUAUAGUUUAUUAGUAGUAAAUCCUAAGUGGUCUAAUGUAUAUUUUGAUAUGGGUAUGUUUAAUUUAGUGUGAGAUGUAUGAAUACUCAUUUAUGAUCAUCCCAAUAUUUUUAGUUCAUUAUAAAUAUAUUUUGUUAAAGGAUAA